rnacentral:rRNA from 1 species
AUGCGCGGGAGCACGAUGGAGGAUGCACGCGAGCUUGAGGAGGAUGCACGGGGGUUCCAGAAGGGACGCGCGCGGCAGGAGAUUCCGGCGAAACCCACAGGCGGCUGGAGGGGACCGUCGGCGCAGGUCUGGGCUGCGGCGGCAGAAGAGGUAAUUGGCAACGACGGCGAGAGCAUGUACUUGGCUACAGCGGAGGAGCUCAGCUGGGCUCGCCGGCCCUUGGCGAAUCACACAGCUGGGCGGCGCCGGCCCCUGGCGACGCGCAGGCGACGGGCGGAGGAAGAAGACGGGGCGGAGGGACUUGUUCGAAACGCUUUUCAAACCAUGAGGUUUUUUUUGUAA